GCGCAAGCGUGAUCCAGCAAUGCCGCGUGUGUGAAGAAGGCCUUCGGGUUGUAAAGCACUUUUAUCAGGAGCGAAAUACUACUGGCUAAUAACCGGUGGGGCUGACGGUACCUGAGGAAUAAGCACCGGCUAACUUCGUGCCAGCAGCCGCGGUAAUACGAAGGGUGCAAGCGUUAAUCGGAAUUACUGGGCGUAAAGCGUGCGUAGGCGGUGAGUUAAGUCUGUUGUGAAAUCCCCGGGCUCAACCUGGGAAUGGCAAUGGAUACUGGCUCGCUAGAGUGUGAUAGAGGAUGGUGGAAUUCCCGGUGUAGCGGUGAAAUGCGUAGAGAUCGGGAGGAACAUCAGUGGCGAAGGCGGCCAUCUGGAUCAACACUGACGCUGAGGCACGAAAGCGUGGGGAGCAAACAGGAUUAGAUACCCUGGUAGUCCACGCCCUAAACGAUGCGAACUGGAUGUUGGUCUCAACUCGGAGAUCAGUGUCGAAGCUAACGCGUUAAGUUCGCCGCCUGGGGAGUACGGUCGCAAGACUGAAACUCAAAGGAAUUGACG
rnacentral:rRNA from 1 species